rnacentral:rRNA from 1 species
UUCCGGUUGAUCCUGCCAGAGGUUACUGCUAUCGGGGUCCGACUAAGCCAUGCGAGUCGAGAGGGUAAAGCCCUCGGCGUAAUGCUCAGUAACACGCGGAUAACCUGCCCUUGGGUCCGGGAUAACCCCGGGAAACUGGGACUAAUACCGGAUAGAUCAAAGACACUGGAAUGUUCUCUGGUCCAAAACUCCGGUGCCCAAGGAUGGGUCUGCGGCCUAUCAGGUUGUAGUGGGUGUAACGUACCUACUAGCCGACGACGGGUAAGGGUUGUGAGAGCAAGAUCCCUGAGAUGGAUUCUGAGACAUGAAUCCAGGCCCUACGGGGUGCAGCAGGCGCGAAACCUUUACACUGCGGGAAACCGCGAUAAGGGGACCCCGAGUGCCAGCACCUAGUGCUGGCUGUCCAGCUGUCCAAAUAACAGUUGUUAGCAAGGGCCGGGCAAGACCGGUGCCAGCCGCCGCGGUAACACCGGCGGCCCGAGUGGUAGCCGCUAUUAUUGGGUUUAAAGGGCCCGUAGCCGGCCUAUUAAGUCUCUUGGGAAAUCUGGCGGCUUAAUCGUCAGGCGUCCAAGAGAUACUGGUAGGCUUGGGACCGGGAGAGGUGGGAGGUACUCCAGGGGUAGGGGUGAAAUCUCGUAAUCCUUGGGGGACCACCGAUGGCGAAGGCAUCCCACCAGAACGGGUCCGACGGUGAGGGACGAAAGCUGGGGGCACGAACCGGAUUAGAUACCCGGGUAGUCCCAGCUGUAAACGAUGCUCGCUAGGUGUCAGGUGCGGUGCGACCGCAUCUGGUGCCGCAGUGAAAACUUGAAGCGAGUCACCUGGGAAGUACGGUCGCAAGGCUGAAACUUAAAGGAAUUGGCGGGGGAGCACUACAACGGGUGGAGCCUGCGGUUCAAUUGGAUUCAACGCCGGG